GACGAACGCUGGCGGCGUGCUUAACACAUGCAAGUCGAACGGUAAGGCCCUUCGGGGUACACGAGUGGCGAACGGGUGAGUAACACGUGGGUGAUCCGCCCUGCACUUCGGGAUAAGCCUGGGAAACUGGGUCUAAUACCGGAUAGGACCACUGCCUGCAUGGGUGGUGGUGGAAAGCUUUUGCGGUGUGGGAUGGGCCCGCGGGCUAUCAGCUUGUUGGUGGGGUGCUGGCCUACCAAGGCGACGACGGGUAGCCGACCGUAGAGGGUGACCGGCCACACUGGGACUGAGAGACGGCCGAGAGUCCUACGGGAGGCAGCAGUGGGGAAUACUGCACAAUGGGCUCAAGCCUGAUGCAGCGACGCCGCGUGAGGGAUGACGGCCUUCGGGUUGUAAACCUCUUUCAGCACCGACGAAGCGCAAGUGACGGUAGGUGCAGAAGAAGGACCGGCCAACUACGUGCCAGCCGCCGCGGUAA
rnacentral:rRNA from 1 species